rnacentral:rRNA from 1 species
GAUGAACGCUAGCGGCAGGCCUAACACAUGCAAGUCGAGGGGUAGAAGGAGCUUGCUCCUUUGAGACCGGCGCACGGGUGCGUAACGCGUAUGCAAUCUACCUUGUACAGGGGAAUAGCCCAGAGAAAUUUGGAUUAAUGCCCCAUAGUAUAUAACCUUCGCAUGUUGGUUAUAUUAAAGUUCCAACGGUACAAGAUGAGCAUGCGUCCCAUUAGUUAGUUGGUAAGGUAACGGCUUACCAAGACGAUGAUGGGUAGGGGUCCUGAGAGGGAGAUCCCCCACACUUGUACUGCGACACGGACCAGACUCCUACGGGAGGCAGCAGUGAGGAAUAUUGGUCAAUGGUCGCAAGACUGAACCAGCCAUGCCGCGUGCAGGAAGACGGUCCUAUGGAUUGUAAACUGCUUUUAUACAGGAAGAAACCCUCCCACGUGUGGGAGCUUGACGGUACUGUAGGAAUAAGGAUCGGCUAACUCCGUG